rnacentral:rRNA from 1 species
CCCUUAGAUGUUCUGGGCCGCACGCGUGCUACACUGAGUGGAUCAGCGGGUCAGGUUGCGCGAAAGCGUUUCCUAAUCUUUAAAUCCGCUCGUGAUGGGGAUUGACGGUUGCAAUUUUCUGUCAUGAACGAGGAAUACCUUGUAAGCGCGGGUCAUCAUCCCGCGCUGAAUACGUCCCUGCCCUUUGUACACACCGCCCGUCGCUCCUACCGAUUGCGUGGUCCGGUGAGGCUUUGGGAUCUGAGCGGAAAGAGCGUUUCGCUGUUUCUGCUCGGAAAACUCAGUCGAACCUUAUCAUUUAGAGGAAGGAGAAGUCGUAACA